ACAGAUUAUCCUGCUUUCCGUCUUCAAGUAUGUGGAUGAAACUAUUUCGGAAUGAUGAGAGUGGCAAAAUUCAAAGGUAAUUGCUCAGCAAAGUUUAAAACCUUGGAACUUGGACUUGACUCUGCCCCUCAACAAAAUUCCUAGCUGAGUCAGAUUUUGAGUCUCCUCUUGUGUCAACACGUUCUUUGAAUGGUUGUUAUGAAGUCUUUUGCAAAAAAUAUGUAAUACUUGAAAUGACUACUCUUUGCUGAGUAAGUCUUAGUAUUUUUGUUUCUCAAGAAGGGCCCCAGCCAAAAUUUUC
rnacentral:lncRNA from 1 species